AACAACAUUUAUUAUGCGGAUAUAAUCAAAAUGUAUGUGACAAUUGGGCCGCGCGAAAUAUAAAAUACCAAUCAAAACCUUUAGGAAGGAAUCAUCUGCAACAUGUUACUACGGAGAAAUGCAAGCUGGAACGAGGCAACAAAGAUGAAGGUAUGUAUCCCACCAUUAU
rnacentral:sRNA from 1 species